rnacentral:rRNA from 2 species
CUACACAUGCAGUCGAGCGGAUGAAGAGAGCUUGCUCUCUGAUUCAGCGGCGGACGGGUGAGUAAUGCCUAGGAAUCUGCCUGGUAGUGGGGGACAACGUCUCGAAAGGGACGCUAAUACCGCAUACGUCCUACGGGAGAAAGCAGGGGACCUUCGGGCCUUGCGCUAUCAGAUGAGCCUAGGUCGGAUUAGCUAGUUGGUGAGGUAAUGGCUCACCAAGGCGACGAUCCGUAACUGGUCUGAGAGGAUGAUCAGUCACACUGGAACUGAGACACGGUCCAGACUCCUACGGGAGGCAGCAGUGGGGAAUAUUGGACAAUGGGCGAAAGCCUGAUCCAGCCAUGCCGCGUGUGUGAAGAAGGUCUUCGGAUUGUAAAGCACUUUAAGUUGGGAGGAAGGGCAGUAAGCGAAUACCUUGCUGUUUUGACGUUACCGACAGAAUAAGCACCGGCUAACUCUGUGCCAGCAGCCGCGGUAAUACAGAGGGUGCAAGCGUUAAUCGGAAUUACUGGGCGUAAAGCGCGCGUAGGUGGUUUGUUAAGUUGAAUGUGAAAUCCCCGGGCUCAACCUGGGAACUGCAUCCAAAACUGGCAAGCUAGAGUAGGGCAGAGGGUGGUGGAAUUUCCUGUGUAGCGGUGAAAUGCGUAGAUAUAGGAAGGAACACCAGUGGCGAA